rnacentral:sRNA from 1 species
AGACUUUAAAAAUGAAAGUCACAUAUUCUACAAAAAACAUUCACAUUCAUAAAAAUACCCUUAAACAAAAUACAAAUUAAUUUUUUUCUUUCCAGUAGAGGGGGCAGUGAUUACCUGGCAUUGUUGCAAAACAAAAGUUAAGCUUGCCAUUAUUGUAGUUACAAUUUUUAAUAUAAUUUUUGCAGUUAUCUCUCAGUAACUUUUUAUUAUAUACUAUUUAAUUAUGAAUGUCAGGGUCUGAAAAAUACAUGAUCAAUUCAGGAUUGGUUGUAACUUUUAAAAAAAGAUACUUACAUUGACUUGUUGUUAUCUAAAAUGUCUUUAUUAUGUAGACACAUCACCUUCACUUUGGGAUGUGGAAUUUGCUAAGCAGUUAGCCACAGUAAAUGAACAACCCCUUCAGAAUGGAUUUGAAGAGCUGAUCCAGUGGACAAAAGAGGGGAAACUAUGGGAGUUCCCAAUUAACAAUGAAGCAGGUUUUGAUGAUGAUGGUUCAGAAUUUCAUGAACAUAUAUUUCUGGAGAAACACCUGGAGAGCUUUCCAAAACAAGGACCAAUUCGCCACUUCAUGGAGCUGGUGACUUGUGGCCUUUCCAAAAACCCAUAUCUUAGUGUUAAACAGAAGGUUGAGCACAUAGAGUGGUUUAGAAAUUAUUUUAAUGAAAAAAAGGAUAUUCUAAAAGAAAGUAACAUACAGUUCAAUUAAGACCAUGGAAAUUUUUAUUUCAAACAAUUAGAGAUGGAUAUUACAACUAAAUAAAAUAAUUUUACUAGAGUUUGUA